rnacentral:misc_RNA from 1 species
GAUGAAGAACGUAGCGAAAUGCGAUACGUAAUGUGAAUUGCAGGAUUCAGUGAAUCAUCGAAUCUUUGAACGCACAUUGCACUCCUUGGUAUUCCGAGGAGUAUGCCUGUUUCAGUAUCAUGAGCACUCUCACAUCUAACCUUUGGGUUAAAAUGUGGAAUUGGGAUGCGCCGGUUAUUAUAACGGCCCUCCUAAAAUUCAGUUCUUGGCUGCUUCCUACUACAGCAGUUUGGCCUAAUAGUUUUGAGUCUUCGAUUCAAAUCUUUGGCUAACAUUUGCUUCAGGAUGUCAGUCUUGAUAUACAGAAAUCUCAUUCAAACUUUGAUCUGAAAUCAGGUAGGGCUACCCGCUGAGCUUAAGCAUACCAAUAAGCGGAGGA